rnacentral:rRNA from 1 species
AAUGAACGUUGGCGGCGCGGAUUAGGCAUGCAAGUCGUGCGCGAAUCGUAGCAAUACGAGGAGAGCGGCGAAAGGGAGAGGAUAGCAUAGAUACCUACCCCCGGACCUGGGAUAGCUAUGGGAAACUAUAGGUAAUACCAGAUAAUGUCUCCGGACCAAAGGUGUGACUCCGUCCGAGGAGGGGUCUAUGUCCUAUUAGCUUGUUGGUGAGGUAAUGGCUCACCAAGGCCAAGAUGGGUACGAGGCGUGAGAGCGUGUCCUCGCUCACUGGGACUGAGACACUGCCCAGACACCUACGGGUGGCUGCAGUCGAGAAUCUUCGGCAAUGGGCGCAAGCCUGACCGAGCGACGCCGCGUGCGGGAUGAAGGCCUUCGGGUUGUAAACCGCUGUCAGUGCGGAGGAAAUAUAGUGGGGUACUCCCCAUUAUUUGACCUAUGCGCAGAGGAAGGACGGGCUAAGUUCGUGCCAGCCGCCGCGGUAAAAC